CCUGGCGCAUCGGCGUGCGAGCCGUAUGCGGUCAAUCUUUCGGAGGAAACGGGUGCGAUUCCCGUGCUGUCCCGCAACUGUGAUUCCGCCGUCGGCGGACAAGCCAGAUACUCCUCGUGAACGCGGGUCUUCG
rnacentral:ncRNA from 2 species